rnacentral:rRNA from 1 species
AGAGCGAACGCUGGCGGCAGGCCUAACACAUGCAAGUCGAGCGCCCCGCAAGGGGAGCGGCAGACGGGAGAGUAACACGUGGGAACGUACCCUUCAGUUCGGAACAACCCAGGGAAACUUGGGCUAAUACCGAAUACGUCCGUAAGGAGAAAGAUUUAUCGCUGAAGGAUCGGCCCGCGUCUGAUUAGCUUGUUGGUGAGGUAACGGCUCACCAAGGCGACGAUCAGUAGCUGGUCUGAGAGGAUGAUCAGCCUCACUGGGACUGAGACACGGCCCAGACUCCUACGGGAGGCAGCAGUGGGGAAUAUUGGACAAUGGGCGCAAGCCUGAUCCAGCCAUGCCGCGUGGGUGAUGAAGGCCCUAGGGUUGCAAAGCCCUUUCGGCGGGGAAGAUAAUGACGGUACCGCAGAAGAAGCCCCGGCUAACUUCGUGCCAGCAGCCGC